rnacentral:rRNA from 1 species
CCUACGGGUGGCAGCAGUGGGGAAUAUUGGACAAUGGGGGCAACCCUGAUCCAGCCAUGCCGCGUGUGUGAAGAAGGCCCUCGGGUUGUAAAGCACUUUCAGUGAGGAAGGACGCCUGGUGGUUAAUACCCAUCAGGAAAGACAUCACUCACAGAAGAAGCACCGGCUAACUCCGUGCCAGCAGCCGCGGUAAUACGGAGGGUGCGAGCGUUAAUCGGAAUUACUGGGCGUAAAGCGCGCGUAGGUGGCUUGAUAAGCCGGUUGUGAAAGCCCCGGGCUCAACCUGGGAACGGCAUCCGGAACUGUCAAGCUAGAGUGCAGGAGAGGAAGGUAGAAUUCCCGGUGUAGCGGUGAAAUGCGUAGAGAUCGGGAGGAAUACCAGUGGCGAAGGCGGCCUUCUGGACUGACACUGACACUGAGGUGCGAAAGCGUGGGUAGCAAACAGGAUUAGAUACCCGGGUAGUC